rnacentral:misc_RNA from 1 species
GAGCUAAGAUUGUUCACUGCUUGGACAUGACUUUGGGAAAGAGGACCACCAGCAGUUGGAUAAGAAUUUCCCAACAUGGAAAUUACCUGUGGAGAUCCUUGUGGAAGUCCACUCAUUAAUCUAUUUUGUCCUUGCACACUUAAACUUCCAGAUCCACUAUUUGCAGUUAGAUUUAGCCGAGAUGCGAGACCAGGCACAGAUAAUCCUCCACCCGAGCUUAUGC